CAUUAAGAAGCUAAAGGAUUAAGCGACAGCCUUUUAAGCUGAAGAUAGGUGAUUCCAACCACCCUUAAUGA
rnacentral:tRNA from 1 species